AUGGAGGAUCUACCAGAGCCACUGCUUGGAGAGGUCGUCAAGAGGAUUACUAAGGCAAGUGAUCUUAAUUCUCUUCCCCUCGUGUCGAAGCAGCUCUGCACCGUAGAGGCGGAGCACAGGGAUGCUAUCUGUGUUGGCUGUGGACUCGACCCUUCUACAGAAGCCUUGGUGUCGCUCUUCUCCCGGUUCCUCAAUUUGGCAAAAGUAGAGAUCAACUAUUCUGGAUGGAAGCCCAGCAACGGGGACCAGCUGAACAACCAAGGCCUUUGUGUUCUAUCUUCUCACUGCCCCUUGCUGUCCGAUCUUGCUUUAAGCUUCUGCUCAUACAUCGAUGACUCUGGUCUUGGUUACCUAGCUGAGUGCAAAAAAUUGAGGUCCCUCAGGCUGGACCAUGCAUCAGCAGUCACUUCUACUGGGAUUUUUCGGGUCGUGGUUGGUUGCAGGUAUCUUUCGGUUCUCCACCUUGUUUUUGACGCGUGGUUCUCCACCUUGUUGACUAUACGGCAGUAA
rnacentral:rRNA from 1 species